UGGCUGUCUUGGCUUGUGCCAUAGCCACGCGCAGCCUCUCCCAGCCGGAGGGGCUGCGCGUGGCUAAAGAAGCCAAGACAGCGAGCGGGAGAGGCUGCGCACGGCUAUGGCAGAAGCCAAGACAGCCA